AAUUUUGUGUUUUUAAUUUAAAUCAAGGAUCACUCAAGAGGUUUUUAUAGGGAGAAAAAAAAAAUAUUAUCAAAAACCUCUUGAGUGAUCCUUGAUUUAAAUU